GGUGUUAAGUGUCGACGAUUGAGGAGGGUGUGAUCUGAUGGAGAUGACAGUGGGCGAGUAGGCCUAUUUCAUUUAAAUGUCUGAUACCAUUCUUUCAGCAUUCAUGUAAUCUACCAGUAAGCCACUAGUCUCAAAUAUUUAAAUUUGAAGCCACCAAAAUUACUAAAAAAUUAUUGAAAUUAAUACCUGUCCACUGGAGUCUCUUGACGUUUACACAUUAUCCUUCUCAUCAAGACGUACCGUACACCCAAGCAUCAAACAUAAUCUACUAACUAAUUGAUGAAUUUGUGGGGAUUUCGAUCACGACGGCAACGCAAAUGUUUUGCGUCCUGGUUAAGGACAAAAGAGAACUGGUUUCUAUGUGACGUCAUUCCCUCCAAGAUCUUCCCAUCGUCGUUGCACAAUCGAAAGCUGUCUAAUAUUUUGACAUUUCUUAAUAAAUCUAAGAAUAUCAUAAUUAAUGUAACAAUAGAAUUGAAAAACAGGCUUGAUAACCCAGUUGUGCCAUCUAAGUAUGCCGAGGCACACUAUUAUGAAUUAUGAACAUUCCCUUAGAAAAGUAGUCUAUAAAAUUCUAUAAGAACUCUUUAGAGGUUUAGAAUACUCUAGAAAAUCAGUAGAACUCUAUAGGUAUAAUAAAAAUGUAGUUAACUAAUAAAACUAUAGAUAUUCUAUUAUAUCAAUAAGAUCCCUAAACCUAAAUAGGAUUAUUUCAGUAGAAAUCCAAUAUAUUAUUUUGCUAAUGGUCUGUUAAUUCAUUAGAUAAAUGUACUAAUAUAAAUGAAAUACAUGCAGUGAACUAACACUUAGGCCGGCAAGAUUGACGAUAACUUAGUUCUGCAACUUACGUAUG